AAAAUACCAAAAAAAUUAGCCGGGCUUGGUGGCGGGUGCCUGUAGUCCCAGCUACUUGGGAGGCUGAGGCAGGAGAAUGGCGUGAACCCGGGAGGCAGAGCUUGCAGUGAGCCGAGAUCGCACCACUGCACUCCAGCCUGGGCGACAGAGCGAGACUGUGUCUAAAAAAAAAAAAAAUUGCGGUAAAAUAUACGUAACGUAAAAUGUACCAUGUUAACAAUUUUAAAUGUAUACUUUAGUGGCAUUAGGUCCAUUCACAUUGUUGUGGCAUCACUACCAUCCACCUCCAGAACUUGUUCAUCCUGCAAAACUGAAGCUCUAUACCCAUUAAGCAGUCACUCUCCAUCCCCUUCUCCCCAGCCCCUGGCAACCACCAUUUCACUUCUGUCUCUAUGAUUUUGACUACUCUAGGUCCCUCAUAUAAGUGGAAUCAUACAGUAAUUGCUUUUUUGAGACUGGCUCAUUUCACUUAGCAUAAUAUCCUCAUGGUUCAUCUGUGUUGACGCUUGCAUCAACAUUGCCUUCUUGUUCGAGGCUGAAUCAUGUUCUGUAAUAUGGAGAGACCACAUUUUGCAUCUCCAUUCAUCUGUUGAUGAACACUUGGGUUGUUUUCCACCUCAAUCUCAUUUCUUUUCUGUUGUUUUUGAAACUUGAUAAGUAGCUUUAUUCCAGAUGGGCUCCUGAAGACAGGAAAGAGUAUCUAAUUGUCUGACACUAUUCCAGAGAUUGGCCCGGUCAUCACCUCAGUCUGGGCCUUGUAGAUUUGUAGAAAUAGCAGUGGCUCUGAGCAUAGGCAGAGGGAUCAGAUGUGAGGGGUAAGGGAGGAUCUGUAGUGUGCCUUGCACCAUAAAACUUAUGCUGCUUCACUGCUCAAGUUUAACUCACGUCAGCCCAAAGGCUAUGCAGAUGUUUUCUGCUGGGUUGCUAUGGACACCAGAAGUCUAGAACUUGAGCAGGCGGAACACAGAGUACCCGCAGUGCCGUCCUAAUUUACCUGUUUCCUCAGCAGCUAUGUCCAUAACAGCUACCUAACUCCCAACCCCCCAAAUCCAUCUAACCUCUUCAUGUAGCCUUGGCUUGUAGUGUUCUGCAGGAACAGGAAUGGAUCUGAUGGCAGAGCAUUGGUGUCAAGGGGCAUUUCGCAAACUUGUCUGAUCACAGACUCACCUGGGAAGCUUGAUGAAAUACAGAUUCCUGGGCUCCAUCCCAGAACUGAUUGAUCAGAAUCUGUAGGGGAGGGGCCAAGGAAUCUGAAUUUUAACAGGUGCCUCGAGAGUCUUAUGAGGACACUGCGAGUAAAGAAGCAAGCACUUGACUUAGAGCAGAACACCUGAGUCCUACUGAACUUGAAGUGCCUGGAGAGUUCCAGCCACAUUUAUCGAGCAGGCCUCAUGCUAGGUGCCUAAUGGAACAGAGGAAUAUUGGACUGGGAGAUGGCUGGCUGCUCAGAGCAGGCUCCUGGGCAUCGCAUUGGCCAGAUCACUGGGUAUUACAGCUGAACCUUGAUUUUGUGGCUCCAGAAAUUUGACAUUGUCUUUAUAUCAAGUGUUGAUGUCACUCUGGUGGAGUGUGAUUGUAUCCCAGCCAGGUGAAGGACUGGUGACUGGUCCCUCCCUCACAUAGGAGCGUGGCUCCCUGGUGGCUAAAAUGUCCAUGUCACCCAGAUUUGGCAUCCCUGCCCUCUUCUAAGAUUCUCCACUGUAGGCUGGGAUUCUCGUGGUCCUGGUGUGGAAACGAGCCAGGCUGCUCCUUGCAGUGAAGAGGGAAGAACCUCACUGUUGGAGUCAGAGUAACUUGAGUCUGAAUCUCCAUUCCCUUGUAUACUAGCUGUGUGACCCUGAGUCAGUUUCUGAAUGUCUCUGAGCCUCUGUUUCCUCACAUUAUAAUUAUGUGGCUAUGAUAAUUAAAUGAGAUUCUGUGUAUAUAUUCUUUAACCCAACAAACACUUAAUGCCUUCUCUGUGCCAAUUCUGUGUCCUGUGAUCCUGGGACAGUAACUGACACCUGGUCAGGUUUCAAGGUUUCAAGGUUUCUACUGCCAUGUUGCCUGUUCCAUUUGGCACACUGCUCCAUGCAGGGGAAAUGAAUCAACACCUUCUUCCCUGGAAUUGCCUCACCUCCUUUGUUUUUCUCAUGAACUUUUUUCUCCUCCAUGGAAAAAUACAGACUUUGAUUAAGCUUUUUCUGGAAGAAGUUUUUGGACCCACUGCACCCUCUAUGGGACGCUGCCCAGAUCUCAAGGUGCUCGGUGGCAGUGGAGCCUGAGGCUGGGGGCCCAGGCAGAGGCUCCCAGGUAGGGCAUGGGAGAUGUCCUGGGCUCCACGCUGCCCGGGCCCAGGGCUGGCUCCCUGACUUGGGUGAGGAAAAGGGAGUGGGAGACAAAAGGCCAAGGUCAUCCAGCCACUGACUCUGGUUAGCUGAAUACCCGAUGUUGACAGUUUCUCCCUCCCUCUCUCUCUCUGCUGUUUCCUCUAUAGAGCUAAGUCUGGUUUGCAUUGAAAUAAGCAUGCAGUAAUAUGCCUUUUGCCUUACCAACUUGUAUUUGCACACAGGCAGCACAGAUUCACCAUUUCACUUCCUACCAUGAACUAAAAGAAUUGUAUCUCUUCAACAAACACCACUUUAUUUUUAACCUUUUUUUUUUAUUGUGGUAAAAUGUAUACUACAUAAAAUGUGCCAGUGUAACCAUUUUAAAACAUACAAUUCAGCGGCAUUAAGUACAUUCACAGUACUAUGCAACCAUAAACACUAUUUCCAAAUCUUUUUAAUGACUCCAAUCUGAAACUCUAUAUCCAUUAAACAAUAACUCAGAUUCCCUGUCCCCCAAACCUGUGGUAAUCUCAAGUCUACUUUCUGUCUCUAUGAAUUUGCCUACUCUAGAUAUUUCACAUAAAUACAAUCACACUGUGUUUGUC
rnacentral:lncRNA from 1 species